CAGCCACAUCACAUUGAAAUACAAGUUUCCAUACAAUCACCAAAGUUAAGCAACAUCAUGCCUGAUCAGUACUUAGAUGGGUGACUACUUGGAAAUACCAGGUGCUGG